AUUGAACGCUGGCGGCAUGCUUUACACAUGCAAGUCGAACGGUAACAGGCCGCAAGGUGCUGACGAGUGGCGAACGGGUGAGUAAUGCAUCGGAACGUGCCCAGUCGUGGGGGAUAACGCAGCGAAAGCUGUGCUAAUACCGCAUACGAUCUAUGGAUGAAAGCGGGGACCGUAAGGCCUCGCGCGAUUGGAGCGGCCGAUGUCAGAUUAGGUAGUUGGUGGGGUAAAGGCCUACCAAGCCGACGAUCUGUAGCUGGUCUGAGAGGACGACCAGCCACACGGGGACUGAGACACGGCCCAGACUCCUACGGGAGGCAGCAGUGGGGAAUUUUGGACAAUGGACGCAAGUCUGAUCCAGCCAUGCCGCGUGCGGGAAGAAGGCCUUCGGGUUGUAAACCGCUUUUGUCAGGGAAGAAACGCUCUGGGUUAAUACCUCGGGGUAAUGACGGUACCUGAAGAAUAAGCACCGGCUAACUACGUGCCAGCCGCCGCAGUAACAC
rnacentral:rRNA from 1 species